UACGUCAUUCAAUGCAUGACUGGAUUCUCCGUUGAUACCGUCUGUCAGACAACACUGAAACAUUUGUCCAAGGUCAAGGGGCUGGAAUCUAUGAGUUGGAGAAGAGCUGAGGGAAGGCCUCUCCUUUCUCCUCAUCUAUGGAAUAGCAAGUCGGAAAAAUACCCCGAAUGCAGCUGAAGGACAGAACCAGUAUUUAUAAAAUGCCUUUCACAACCUCAGGACAAUGCCAAAUGCUAUAAAGCUAAUGACACAGCCUCGUCCACAAGCAAAGAGGUGGUCCCCAGCACCACUUUAAAAAAGAUAUGAGAGGCAACUUUUUCAGUGGUUCAUGUGUGCAACGAAUGGCCAGAGAGAGAGUGGUGGAUGCAGGUACAGUUACAACAUCUAAAAGACAUUCACGAAUGCUGCAGCUUUCUUCUUGUGACCAUGGACAGCAAGGUCUGUGUUCUGUGUUGUUACUUUUUUGCCUCAGGACUCAUGUCAAGCUGGAAUCGUUCAUAACAGCACCGUACCUAGUCUGCUAACAAAUUACUGACUCUUUUCCCUUAGACUUUCUUAUGGGAAGUAAUGACUCCAAUUGUAUAACAUAAACACCCACACAGAGGAAGUAUUCCCAAAUAUUAUGGACGUGUUAUAACACAAAUGAGAGAGUUGGCCUUGACAUCUGAAAGUGGUCCAGGCGAGUCAGAGGAACAUUCGAGACGCUGUUGUACCUUGCCAAAAUCAAUUGAGCUACCAUCACCACAUCAAAAAUGAAUCCCUACAAUGGGAAAGUCAAACUCAAAGAAAGGAAGACUUACUAUAUACAGUACAAUAAAAUCUUUGUUUCACACUGUUCUGUAGCACUGUAAAGCGUUGAAAUUCCAUUGUAUGGUACUGUUAAUGUAUUGGAUAAUGCGUUCUUAUGAAGUUAUUAUUUUAAUAACCCUUAACCUGAUUAAAACAGCUUCCUUAAAAUAACUUGCUAAUCUUAAAUAGAUUCAAAAACUUUGUUAAAAAGGUGCCGAAGGCAUUUUAAUUUUGAUGCGCUAAAAUUCAGUGUAUGUACAGAUUUCAACUGAGUAGAGUUUGAAUGAAAAAGUAACAGAACUGGGGAUGCUAGAAAUCUGAAACAAAAACAGAAAUUGCUGGAAGUGCUCAGCAGGUCAGGUGGCAUCUACGAAGAGAAAUCAGAGUUAACG